UUUCAUUCAUCCUUAGUCCCCCGGCGUCAACUCCCUGCUGGGCUCGGCGAGGCUGGGCUGCGCGCUCUCAUUGGGUGUAGCCAACCCAGAGAAGUCGCCGGCCUCUUCUUCCAGUGGGGAGUCCAUCUGACCCAAGACAGUGGGAGGCCAAGGACCGAGUGCAGAGCUGGUGCACCUCGGGGACGCUGUACUAAGAAUUGAACUCAGGACCUUGUGCUUGCCGGGCAGGUGCAGCACCACUGAGCUACAUCCCCCCGGCUGAUCCUUCUAUUACAGACAGCCGAAUUAGUUAAAACUAUUAUAAGCAGACAGAUAGGGCGAGGUCCUUGAGAGUCAGGACAAAGGUAAAACACAACACAACUGCGUCCGGAGACACAUCUGUUGGAAGGCAGGCCUCAAGAUAAAGACAAGAUGACCAGACCUGUAUACUUCCCCAAAGGACAAACACCGGGCCUAAUGAAGUCCAGAUAGACAUCAGCCACCCAGAGACCUCUGGACCCACCAUUUCCUAGGAGGAGUCUUUGUUCUUUCCAUCCAUGCCUGUUACAUGACUUGUUUCCCAAUGGUUUGGACCACCAUUACCUGAGUGGCUGUACUUGUAACCUCAUUGGUUGAUCAUGGCUGUGGCCCAUGUUAUACCC
rnacentral:lncRNA from 1 species